rnacentral:rRNA from 1 species
UACGUAGGGGGCAAGCGUUGUCCGGAAUCAUUGGGCGUAAAGAGCUCGUAGGCGGCUCGUCGCGUCAGCUGUGAAAACCCGCAGCUUAACUGUGGGCUUGCAGCUGAUACGGGCGGGCUAGAGUUCGGUAGGGGAGACUGGAAUUCCUGGUGUAGCGGUGAAAUGCGCAGAUAUCAGGAGGAACACCGGUGGCGAAGGCGGGUCUCUGGGCCGAUACUGACGCUGAGGAGCGAAAGCGUGGGGAGCGAACAGG